rnacentral:rRNA from 1 species
UACGUAGGGUGGGAGCGUUAAUCGGAAUUACUGGGCGUAAAGCGUGCGCAGGCGGUUUUGUAAGCCAGGGGUGAAAUCCCCGGGCUCAACCUGGGAAUGGCAUUUGGGACUGCAAGGCUGGAGUGCGGCAGAGGAGACUGGAAUUCCUGGUGUAGCAGAGAAAUGCGUAGAUAUCAGGAGGAAUACCGAUGGCGAAGGCAGGUCUCUGGGCUGACACUGACGCUCAUGCACGAAAGCGUGGGGAGCAAACAGG